CCUACGGGAGGCAGCAGUGAGGAAUAUUGGUCAAUGGACGAGAGUCUGAACCAGCCAAGUAGCGUGAAGGAUGACUGCCCUAUGGGUUGUAAACUUCUUUUAUAUGGGAAUAAAAUGUUCCACGUGUGGGAUUUUGUAUGUACCAUAUGAAUAAGGAUCGGCUAACUCCGUGCCAGCAGCCGCGGUAAUACGGAGGAUCCGAGCGUUAUCCGGAUUUAUUGGGUUUAAAGGGAGCGUAGGUGGAUUGUUAAGUCAGUUGUGAAAGUUUGCGGCUCAACCGUAAAAUUGCAGUUGAAACUGGCAGUCUUGAGUACAGUAGAGGUGGGCGGAAUUCGUGGUGUAGCGGUGAAAUGCUUAGAUAUCACGAAGAACUCCGAUUGCGAAGGCAGUUCACUGGACUGCAACUGACACUGGGGCUCGAAAGUGUGGGUAUCAAACAGGAUUAGAUACCCGUGUAGUC
rnacentral:rRNA from 1 species